rnacentral:rRNA from 1 species
UACGAAGGGGGCUAGCGUUGCUCGGAAUCACUGGGCGUAAAGCGCACGUAGGCGGAUUGUUAAGUCAGGGGUGAAAUCCUGGAGCUCAACUCCAGAACUGCCUUUGAUACUGGCGAUCUUGAGUCCGGGAGAGGUGAGUGGAACUGCGAGUGUAGAGGUGAAAUUCGUAGAUAUUGGGAAGAACACCGGUGGCGAAGGCGGCUCACUGGCUCAUAUCUGACGCUCAGGCGCGACAGCGUGGGGAUCAAACAGG